rnacentral:rRNA from 1 species
AUGGGCUGUGCUGCGACGCUUCAUUCAAAUUUCUGCCCUAUCAACUUUCGAUGGUAAGAUAGAGGCCUACCAUGGUUUUUACGGGUAACGGGGAAUUAGGGUUCAAUUCCGGAGAGGGAGCCUGAGAAAUGGCUACCACUUCUAAGGAAGGCAGCAGGCGCGCAAAUUACCCAAUCCUGACGCAGGGAGGUAGUGACAGUAAAUAACAAUGCAGGGCUCUUCAAGUCUUGCAGUUGGAAUGAGUACAAUUUAAACCCCUUAACGAGUAACAAUUGGAGGGCAAGUCUGGUGCCAGCAGCCGCGGUAAUUCCAGCUCCAAUAGCGUUAUA